rnacentral:rRNA from 1 species
UACGAAGGGGGCUAGCGUUAAUCGGAAUUACUGGGCGUAAAGCGUGCGUAGUCGGUUAUCUAAGUCGGAUGUGAAAUCCCCGGGCUCAACCUGGGAAUUGCAUUCGAUACUGGAUAGCUAGAGUUCGGCAGAGGGAAGUGGAAUUUCGGGUGUAGCGGUGAAAUGCGUAGAUAUCCGAAGGAACAUCAGUGGCGAAAGCGAACUUCCGUGGACC